UACGUAGGGUGCAAGCGUUGUCCGGAAUUAUUGGGCGUAAAGAGCUCGUAGGCGGUUUGUCGCGUCUGCUGUGAAAACCGGAGGCUCAACCUCCGGCCUGCAGUGGGUACGGGCAGACUAGAGUGCGGUAGGGGUGACUGGAAUUCCUGGUGUAGCGGUGGAAUGCGCAGAUAUCAGGAGGAACACCGAUGGCGAAGGCAGGUCACUGGGCCGCAACUGACGCUGAGGAGCGAAAGCAUGGGGAGCGAACAGG
rnacentral:rRNA from 1 species